rnacentral:rRNA from 1 species
CCUACGGGUGGCAGCAGUGAGGAAUAUUGGUCAAUGGCCGAGAGGCUGAACCAGCCAAGUCGCGUGAGGGAUGACGGCCCUACGGGUUGUAAACCUCUUUUGCCGGGGAGCAAAGAGCGGGACGCGUCCCGCCUCGUGAGUACUCGGUGAAAAAGCAUCGGCUAACUCCGUGCCAGCAGCCGCGGUAAUACGGAGGAUCCGAGCGUUAUCCGGAUUUAUUGGGUUUAAAGGGUGCGUAGACGGGAGGCGAAGUCAGCGGUUAAAUUUUGGGGCUCAACCCUAUACUCGCCGUUGAUACUGGGAUUCUUGAGUGGACGUGAAGUACGCGGAAUGCGUGGUGUAGCGGUGAAAUGCAUAGAUAUCACGCAGAACUCCGAUUGCGAAGGCAGCGUAC